AUUCCAGCUCCAAUAGCGUAUGUUAAAGUUGUUGCAGUUAAAAAGCUCGUAGUUGGAUUUCUGGUGGGAGCGUUGGGCCGGCCCUAAGGGUCUGAGCUCAGAUGUUUUCCGCCAUCCUUGGAGGGAUGUUGUCUGGCAUUAAGUUGUCGGGCUUCCGAUCUCCAUCGUUUACUGUGAAAAAAUUAGAGUGUUCAAAGCAGGCUUAUGCCGUUGAAUACAUUAGCAUGGAAUAAUAAGAUAGGACCUUGGUACUAUUUUGUUGGUUUGCGUACCUAGGUAAUGAUUAAUAGGGACAGUUGGGGAUAUUACUAUUUCGUUGUCAGAGGUGAAACUCUUGGAUUUACGAAAGAGUAACUACUGCGAAAGCAUUUAUCAAGGAUGUUCUCAUCA
rnacentral:rRNA from 1 species